rnacentral:rRNA from 1 species
CUACGGGCCGCAGCAGUGAGGAAUAUUGCACAAUGGGGGGAACCCUGAUGCAGCAACGCCGCGUGGAGGAUGACGCAUUUCGGUGUGUAAACUCCUUUUAUAUGUCAAGAAAAUGACGGUAGCAUAUGAAUAAGCACUGGCUAACUCCGUGCCAGCAGCCGCGGUAAUACGGAGGGUGCAAGCGUUACUCGGAAUCACUGGGCGUAAAGGACGCGUAGGCGGGUUGGAAAGUCAGGUGCGAAAUCCUACAGCUUAACUGUAGAACUGCACUUGAAACUUCUAAUCUAGAGUAUGGGAGGGGGAGAUGGAAUUAGUGGUGUAGGGGUAAAAUCCGUAGAUAUCACUAGGAAUACCUAAAGCGAAGGCGAUCUCCUGGAACAUUACUGACGCUAAGGCGUGAAAGCGUGGGGAGCAAACAGGAUUAGAUACCCUUGUAGUC